ensembl:lncRNA
CUCUUUCAGAGCAUCCUUUCCUUUGCAAGUAGAUUUCUUCCUCAUUGUGCCCGUUACCUAUUGAUUUCAAUGCUUUUUUUUUUUUUUUCCUUUUUCUUUUUUUUUUUUUUAUUGCAGGAAAGCUACAGUGGACAGAUGGGGCUGACAUUUUGUCUGGAAGGUGGGAAACAAUACAUGAAAGAAGGUGCAGUAAGGAAGCAAUUUGGCCCAGUCACACUCAAGUGAAGGAGCAGGACUGGCUGUUAGGAAAAAGUGUGACUACUUCUACAAACACUGGAGUAGCAGCAAACUCUCCACAUCCAGAACAUUUCUUCAGUAACUGCACAGUUGAGAUAAAAAGGAAAUGCUUCAGUUAAAGUCUUCAGAAAAUAAUAAAAAAGUUAAAAGUCAAAUCAAGAACAGAAACUGAAUUUAGUGAAAUUCAGCAAAAAAAAAUAAAAAACAACCACAC